CUCGGAGGAGAGUCAGUUCAGUAGGUUGAUGAACGAGGACGGGAGGGGUCGAAGAUGCUCAUUCUGGGCCCCGAAUAAGACCAAACACCCGUGUGGGACAUUCAAGACGAAUGUUGCUGAAGGACUUUACUGCCUGCCCCGCAAAUAGAUGCUAAAUGCCAUCCAGUGGAGGCAGGGAGCAGACAUUGAGGGAGUCUGUUUCUGUCUUUGGUUAUCUAGCUGUAUGAGUAUUAAAUACCUGUCAUAAAGCUAGAUAACCGAAUGUAGGAAUGACUUCCGUAAUUCACAUCGAGAGAAAGAGAAGAAAAGAGAAGAUUCUGUAAAAAGUCAAAACGUUUCAAUUCGUCUUGAAAAGAUGGUGGAAGCAUUGUUCAGAGAAAAAGAGGACAGGGUCACCGCGCUUCCUCCACCCUCUCCUCUCUUUACCCAGAAGCGAUGGGAUGCCAUCUGCACUGCCAGUGACAGACACUGUGCCCAUGCCAGGAGGCAGACAAAGACCUUGGCCGAUCCUGGCUGCGCUCGGAGGAGCCAUCUUAAGAGAUGCUGCCUCGAUAGCUAAAAUGGCUGGGCUGACGUACAAGGAUGAAGAUGACAACAACAACAACCUGCGCGUACCAACCAAUCCACACACAAGUCUCCCUCCCCCCAGCAUAAUAACUCUGCUCAUCUUGAAACCACAGUUUUUUAUUUGUAAUUUUAAUUCACUUUUGUAGCAUGUUCUAAGUGAAAUAUGUUCAUCUUCAAAUCUGUGAAUAAAAAGGAAAUAAAAGUUGUGUGCACCGUUUUUUCAGUAUAAUUGAUUUAAAAAAAUUAAAAGAAGAAGAAGAAGCAAGAUAACUCUGAAUGGAUUUAAAAACGCUUUCAACUAUGAAAAAGGACAAAUAGCGUAUUUUUGAAUGUAAUUUAAAAUAUUUUAAAUUACGAAAAUUUAUAUACUGUACUUCUGAAUUCUGACACAAACAGUAUUGAAAGCGCACUGUAUUGAUAUCGAAAAUAUUUUCAAAGCUUCCGAGAAAGGAUUAUUGAAAUAUAUUCGACGAAAUUGGCCUGAUUAAAAAACUAACAAAAAUGCGCUUGUUUUGGCAGUGCCGUUUCUUGUCACGCCGUUUUGAUCCAACAAAAAGUUUAAAUGAGACUGAAUGCUUCACGUGUGCCGUUAAUAUGAAUAAUGUUAAUGAUUUUUGUCAAAUCUGUUCAAUAGCAUGGUAUUGUCUAUGUGCGUUUUUAUAUAUAGACGGUUUAAAUCAUACUAAAUAAGAGGAAAGGGUCGUUCACUUUAUAUACAUUAAUUAAUAUAUUUUUGUCUCAGACCAGACAGCGUGGGAGGAGUUUGCAAAUCCACUUUUACACACGCACAUAAAUCCAUUUAAUACCAUAAACGAAACAUCUGAAAACUUAAUAUCCCGUCGUGAAGCGAAAUUAAAAUACUUCGAAGGCCCAUGUGUGCUACCAAACAUUUCUAACGGAAUAGCCCAGUGUGCAACAUAAAAUUAAUCCAUUUAAAUUCCACGUCUGCCCUGCAAAAAAAAAAAAAAAAAAAUGUCAACCAGUUAGAAAAUUUUGAAAGUAACAAACUUUAGUGUACAUACAAUAUCCAUCUGAUCAAAAAAUCUAAUAAAGGAACACCAAACGCCAUAUAAAAGAGCUGUAUAUGAUGCUAUAAAUUAAAUAACAAUAAAUAAUAAUAGAAAAAUUAAUCUAAAUUCUACGUCUGCUCUGCAAACAAAACAAACAAAAAAAGGCCAACCAGUUGGAAAAACUGUAAAAGUAACAAACUUUAGUACACAUAUAAUUAUAUCCAUCUGAACAAAAAAUCCAAUAAAAGAACACCAAACACCAUCAAAAACAGCUAUAUUUGAUGCGAUAAAUUCAAUUCCAAACAUAAAAGAAGUGGCAAAACGAUUUUGACAAUUAAAUGUGGACAUUAAAUACUCGAACCGUGUAAUAAAAUGACAAAUGUGAUAAUAUGGCAUGCAGCAUGUUUUCCAUAUUUGUAGCAACCCCUCUCUGGUUGAAUGCAAAGCAAUUAGUAAAAGCAGCCUCUGGAAUGUUGAAAUAAAUGCAUGAAGAAUAUAGAUCACUGAUUUUAAUCAUUCCAAACUUGCUCCACAAACAAGUGCUGCCAUUAAUCAAGACCUAUGACUUCUAUACAACAUCAUUUGUACUGGCCACUUAGGCUGAAAUUGACCUUUAAACACGUGUCUUUAUUUGUUUUGGUGAAGAACCCACAGGACAGCAGGGUUCAAGGGUCAUUAUCAGGAUGUGUCCCCAGAGGACAAUAAACAGACCAGAGAGAUGCUGAGGUCAGGAGCCACAGUCAUAGGUCAAGGGCUGCUAAUUAAGAGGCUACUUCCAACCAUUACACAUAGUGACCACUGGACUCUCUGUAACAGAAUACUGUAAGAUUAAUAAAAAAAAAGAUAAAUAAAUGCAAAUGGUUUCAUUUUAUGGAAGUGUUCUGUUAGCCUAAAAUGUUCCAAAAACAAGCCAUUUCCUAGACUUCAAUGAUUUCUGAGUCACCACAUUUUGGAGGGAAAAUCACUGUUUAUGUAAGCAGAGCUUUAGCAUUAGAAUGGAGAAGGGACACUGUGAAGUCUUUCGAAGACAAGUUUCCUCCCGCUGCGUCAAUAGCGAGCCAUUCAGUGGAGCAUUGGCCUUCACAUACACUCUCAAUUAAGCUGAUUUAACACUUUCUAUGAGGCUUUCCUGACACAAGAACUUUUUCAUGUGCAAUACAUGCCUUGCAAAUGGACAGUACUAAUAUCACAUGCGGGUCUACAG